rnacentral:tRNA from 1 species
GGAGGAUUGGCCGAGAGGUAAGGCACCGGCUUGCUGAGCCGCGGUCGGGCGAAAGCCCGCGCACGUUCGAUCCGUGCAUCCUCCGC